GGGGUGUUCGUGAAUACAUUUAGGUAGAUGUUUUUUUGGGAUAGAUCUGUAAUUGCAAACCAAAAUAACAUAUAUAAAAGCAAUAAUUCACAGAUAAAACCAGUUAAUAAAACGGACUCGGCAACUAUAAAUAAUGCGUGGAAGUCAUGUUCGGAAUUAAUACACGGAAGAGAUAGCAUACUUAACAUUAACUCAAUUUUUAUAUAUGUUAUUUUGGUUUGCAAUUACAGAUUUGUCUCAGGAAAUAUUUAUUUAAAUGUGUUUGCAAAUAUUUCUUGUUACCAGAGUGACUACGUUCUAAUUUUU
rnacentral:lncRNA from 1 species